rnacentral:lncRNA from 1 species
GUUUGUCCCUACAUCCCAAAAUUAGUUUCCAAACCCCAACUUAAGUUUGCCUCAACCAAAUGUUAUUAAAUUUAUACAUAAUCCUUAUUACCUAAAAACACAAAUUUAUUUGUCACUUUUACCAUUCUUGAGUCGUGUCCCUUUAUUAUAACUAUGCAAGUUGGGGCAUCAUAUGUGUCCCAUGAACACACUGCCCAUUUAUUUUUUAAUUUGUCCUUUUUAGCUCACCUGGCCCGAAGGGCCAAGUGAGCUAUUCCCAUCACUUUGCGUCCGGCGUCCGUCGUCGUCGUCCGUCGUCGUCCGUCGUCCGUCGUCGUCCGUCGUCCGUCGUCGUUAACUUUUACAAAAAUCUUCUCCUCUGAAACUAUUGGGCCAAAUCAAACCAAACUUGGCCACAAUCAUCAUUGGGGUAUCUAGUUUAAAAAAUGUGUGGCGUGACCCGGUCAACCAACCAAGAUGGCCGCCACGGCUAAAAAUAGAACAUAGGGGUAAAAUGCAGUUUUUGGCUUAUAACUCAAAAACCAAAGCAUUUAGAGCAAAUCUGACAUGGGAUAAAAAUGUUUAUCAGGUCAAGAUCUAUCUGCCCUGAAAUUUUCAGAUGAAUCGGUCAAUCGGUUGUUGGGUUACUGCCCCUGAAUUGGUAAUUUUGAGGAAAUUUUGCUGUUUUUGGUUAUUAUCUUGAAUAUUAUUAUAGAUAGAGAUAAACUGUAAACAACAAUAAUGUUCAGCAAAGUAAGAUCUACAAAUAAGUCAACAUGACCAAAAUGGUCAGUUGACCCGUUUAGGAGUUAUUGCCCUUUAUAGUCAAUUUUUAACCAUUUUUCGUAAAUUAAAGUAAUCUUUUACAAAAAUCUUCUCCUCUGAAACUACUGGGCCAAAUUAAUCCAAACUUGGCCACAAUCAUCUUUGGGGUAUCUAGUUUAAAAAAUGUGUGGCGUGACCUGGUCAACCAACCAAGAUGGCCGCCACGGCUAAAAAUAGAACAUAGGGGUAAAAUGCAGUUUUUGGCUUAUAACUCAAAAACCAAAGCAUUUUGAGGAAAUCUGACAUGGGAUAAAAAUGUUUAUUAGGUCAAGAUCUAUCUGCCCUGAAAUUUUCAGAUGAAUCGGUCAAUCGGUUGUUGGGUUGCUGCCCCUGAAUUGGUAAUUUUGAGGAAAUUUUGCUGUUUUUGGUUAUUAUCUUGAAUAUUAUUAUAGAUAGAGAUAAACUGUAAAAAGCAAUAAUGUUCAGCACAGUAAGAUCUACAAAUAAGUCAACAUGACCAAAAUGGUCAGUUGACCCGUGUAGGAGUUAUUGCCCUUUAUAGUCAAUUUUUAACCAUUUUUUGUAAAUUAAAGUAAUCUUUUACAAAAAUCUUCUCCUCUGAAACUACUGGGCCAAAUUAAUCCAAACUUGGCCACAAUCAUCUUUGGGGUAUCUAGUUUAAAAAAUGUGUGGCGUGACCUGGUCAACCAACUAAGAUGGCCGCCACAGCUAAAAAUAGAACAUAGGGGUAAAAUGCAGUUUUUGGCUUUAUAACUAUGAAACCAAAGCAUUUAGAGCAAAUCUGACAAGAAGUUAAAUUGUUAAUCAAGUCAAUAUCUAUCUGCCCUGAAAUUUUCAGUUGAAUCAGUCAACCCGUUGUUGGGUUGCUGCCCCUGAAUUGGUAAUUUUGAGGAAAUUUUGCUGUUUUUGGUUAUUAUCUUGAAUAUUAUUAUAGAUAGAGAUAAACUGUAAACAGCAAUAAUGUUCAUCAAAGUAAG